rnacentral:lncRNA from 1 species
GUGUCUUUCUGUUGAAUCGCACAAGAAUCUGACUUCCUCAUUUUCUGAUACCUUCUCUACCUGAUGUUCCCAUGUGUUUUUGGAAGCUGGCAAGUUAUAUUUUUUGCACAAUUAUUACCAGUGCAAUAAUUUUGCCACUCAAUUUUGUCUAGUUUUGUAAUCUAUUUGUGCAGUCUUUGGACAUUUGCAGAUGAGGUGUUCAAAUGCCAGGAAAUAUGGGUGGCAGCUGAGCUUGCAGUUAAUAUGCAGCAGCAGAUUCAUGCAGUAGAAAAAAGCAACAUCUCUGUCAGGAUUCUUAUGAAAUGCAUCAAGGCUACAAUAGUGUGUAUCAGCAUAAUGAAAAUCUUGUGGAGAAGAUGUAAAACAAUGGGCAGAAGUUAUCAAAAUUGCAUGGACAGGUGUAAAGACAGGUGCCACCCCCUCAAAUAUUCGGCCUCAAGGGAAUGGAGAGUAGGAUGCAGUGAGAGGAAAUCAGCCAUCAACCUGUGUACCAUGUUCUUUAAACUUUGCUGACCUUGCAACACAGAGGCUUCUGCAGUUUAACCCACAGUGCCACCACGUCCCUAAUGGCAUUCCAUGUCUUGUCACGCUGGCCACAUGACCACGGAAGCCAUCUACGGACAAACUGUGGCUCUACAGCUUGGAAACAGGGAUGAACACCACCCCCUAGAGUCGGACACAACUGGACUAAAUGUCAAGGGGAACCUUUACCUUUACCUUUAUCUAUUGCAUUUGUUGGAAAGAGAACGGAAAAGGGGGUUCUAAACUCCAUUAUGCAUUAUGUCCAGGUAAAAAAAGUUUUAUUUGUCUAUGUACUGUUUAGCAACUUAGAUAUGAAAACAAGAACAACACCAAGCCUUCUCCUCUCCAGUCCCAGGACUGCUGCGAAGAGUCAAAAGACCAAGUUCAAUCAAUAUUUCAACAUGUCUAUAUUCACAGAUACACACAUAUAGUCUCUCUCUUGCUCUCUGUACAUCUGCCCACUUAUUAAAUGUGUGUGUGCAUGUGUGCAUGUGUGUGCGUGCAUGCAUGUGUACACUUUAGAUAUAUAUAUGUAAAGUGUAACAUUGUCCAAGGAGGGGAUUGUAAUCCAUGCAAGUUCAUACUUCAAUAAAUCUGUUAGUUGUAAAGGUCCUGCA